UUCCGGUUGAUCCUGCCGGAGGUCACUGCUAUCGGUGUUCGACUAAGCCAUGCGAGUCAAAUGUUCUUCGUGAACAUGGCGUACUGCUCAGUAACACGUGGAUAACCUGCCCUUAGGUCUGGCAUAACCCCGGGAAACUGGGGAUAAUUCCGGAUAGAUCAUGGAUGCUGGAAUGCACCGUGGUCGAAAGCUUUUGUGCCUAAGGAUGGGUCUGCGGUCUAUCAGGUUGUAGUGGGUGUAACGUACCUACUAGCCUAUGACGGAUACGGGUUGUGGGAGCAAGAGCCCGGAGAUGGAUUCUGAGACAUGAAUCCAGGCCCUACGGGGCGCAGCAGGCGCGAAAACUUUACAAUGCGGGAAACCGCGAUAAGGGGACACCGAGUGCCAGCAUCCUAUGUUGGCUGUCCAUAUGUAUAAAUAACAUGUGUUAGCAAGGGCCGGGCAAGACCGGUGCCAGCCGCCGCGGUAACACCGGCGGCCCGAGUGGUGGCCACUAUUAUUGGGUCUAAAGGGUCCGUAGCCGGUUUGGUCAGUCUUCCGGGAAAUCUGACGGCUUAACCGUUAGGCUUUCGGGGGAUACUGCCAGGCUUGGGACCGGGAGAGGUAAGAGGUACUACGGGGGUAGGAGUGAAAUCUUGUAAUCCCUGUGGGACCACCAGUGGCGAAGGCGUCUUACCAGAACGGGUCCGACGGUGAGGGACGAAAGCUGGGGGCACGAACCGGAUUAGAUACCCGGGUAGUCCCAGCCGUAAACUAUGCUCGCUAGGUGUCAGGGACGGUGCGACCGUUUCUGGUGCCGUAGGGAAGCCGUGAAGCGAGCCACCUGGGAAGUACGGUCGCAAGGCUGAAACUUAAAGGAAUUGGCGGGGGAGCACUACAA
rnacentral:rRNA from 1 species